CACGCCGUAAACUAUGAUUACUCGCUGUUUGCGAUACACCGUAAGCGGCUUAGCGAAAGCGUUAAGUAAUCCACCUGGGGAGUACGUUCGCAAGAAUGAAACUCAAAGGAAUUGACGGGGGCCCGCACAAGCGGAGGAACAUGUGGUUUAAUUCGAUGAGACGCGAGGAACCUUACCCGGGCUUGAAAUGCAUCUGACAGGAGCAGAGACGCUCUCUUCCUUUGGGACAGAUGUGUAGGUGC
rnacentral:rRNA from 1 species